rnacentral:snRNA from 1 species
UUGCUUUUGCAGCACAGAUACUAAAAUUGAAAAGAUACAGAAAAUACUAGAGUGGCCUCCACAAGAGGAUAACAUGAAUUUAUUAAAUGUGCCAUGGGUUUUG